CCUACGGGAGACAGCAGUGAGGAAUAUUGGUCAAUGGACGAGAGUCUGAACCAGCCACGUAGCGUGAAGGAUGACUGCUCUAUGGGUUGUAAACUUCUUUUAUAAAGGAAUAAAACGAGGCACGUGUGCCUUUUUGCAUGUACUUUAUGAAUAAGGAUCGGCUAACUCCGUGCCAGCAGCCGCGGUAAUACGGAGGAUCCGAGCGUUAUCCGGAUUUAUUGGGUUUAAAGGGAGCGUAGAUGGGUUGUUAAGUCAGUUGUGAAAGUUUGCGGCUCAACCGUAAAAUUGCAAUUGAUACUGGCAGUCGUGAGUACAGUUGAGGUAGGCGGAAUUCGUGGUGUAGCGGUGAAAUGCUUAGAUAUCACGAAGAACCCCGAUUGCGAAGGCAGCUUACUAAACUGUGACUGACAUUGAUGCUCGAAAGUGUGGGUAUCAAACAGGAUUAGAUACCCCUGUAGUC
rnacentral:rRNA from 1 species